UCCUCUCGUCACCUGUUUGCCAUCAUUUUCAUGAGCUGAUAACGUGUUUAUUAGAGCCAUAAUAUGCAGGUGGAAGCAUAAAGGUCUCAUUUGGUGGAGUAUGAAUUCCGUCUCAUACAUCUGUAUGGAAAAGCUUGGUUUCACCCUUCAGCUGUGCCUAGGAAAAGAAUAAGCUCCGAAAUAGUAUCUUUUAUUCUUUUCAAAUGAAAUAUUAGUUCUUUUAAGUUCAGUACAUAUCUCAAAAUACCAUUUGGAUGUGUGUGACAGAUUAAUCACAGAUCAAUCCUUCAAAAGAGGCAGAGAAACAAGUCCCAGCCUCAUGGUCUCUGCUCACAACUCAUUGCUCCUGAUACAAGAGUGAUCAUUUCUACUACAUGUUAUUAUCUCCUCAUCCCUGACUACCUGGCUGAAAUCUUGAAUUGAGGAGAAUACUGACAAGGAUCAAAUAAUGUAUGCACCUUUGACACAGCACUGCAGAAAAAUAAAAAGGCAUUUCUACUAAAAUUUGUGAGCAUUCCAGACUCAUUUUCUAAAAAUACCUCUUAGGUAUCCCAGUAUUAGCAAAUGAAAAAGAACUGGAGAAUAUAAAUGAAAAUAAAAUGAACAAAAACAAAAAAAUACCUUGCAACCUUUGACUGUAAAAGCUAUCAUUGGAGAGAUCAUAUUAUGCAGUUAGUUCUAUAUAACCACCUCACCUAAAACUUGUGGCAGUUAGAGAUAAUUCAACAGAGGAAAGCAGAAAGGCAGAGGUCUGCCUCAAAGGGCCAGCAACAUCCUUUUUUUUCUCAGAGCAGUUCCUACUUCAUGUGUGGCGUUCCACAUGCCUAUUGGACCUCAAGCUCUAAGUAGGAGCACUAAGCCAGUUAUUCCUGUUUUUGAAAGGGAAGUGAAGGGAGAGAUAGGAGGAGGCAAAAAUGGUGGUGACUGCUGGAAAAGCAGAAUUUGAAGAUCAAGAUUUCCCGACUGAGAUCAGGAGAAAAGAUGACUGAAAAAAGAACUAUGUCUCUUUGGAUAUUUUCUGACACUUCCCAAAAUGUAUCUAAACAGUACCAGUCUUAUCAGAUAGAGGCACUGGGAGAUGGAUGUGAGCCAGCUGACAGACAUGUGAGCAAAGGAGGGCAAGGGACUGGCAACAUGAAAGCUCAGGCUACUGCAGAGCAGGGGAAAGCAUACACUGCAAUUUCCCAGGCUGCCACUUAAGCAUGGAGAAAGGAGAGGAAUGCCACAGAAACAAAGUAGGCUAUGCCUGAACCCCUGGGUGAUAAACAUUUAAAGACAAGCUAGAAAAGAAUUGCUUAGAGCCAUUACAAACCUAGCAGUGCAGAGUUCAGCCUGGGCCAAGGCACUCCAGCCCAGUUUGCCAAACUUGGAAGUGGCUCCAUACAAA